CUAGACUUAGCUCAGUUUGGUAGAGCACUCGAUUUGGGGUCGAGGGGUCGGAUGUUCGAAUCAUCUAGUCUAGA
rnacentral:tRNA from 1 species